AUCCUGGCUCAGAACGAAUUUUGGUGGAGUGUCUUAUACAUGCAAGUCGAGCGAGGACGUAGCGAUACGAGCCGAGCGGCGAAUGGGUGAGUAACGCGUAAGCAACCUGCCCCGCACACCGGAACAACCGUGCCAACGCGCGGCUAAUGCCGGGAGCCGUGGUUCCCCGCAUGGGGGAUUGACGAAAGAUUUAUCGGUGCGGGAUGGGCUUGCGUCCGAUUAGCUAGUUGGCGGGGCAACGGCCCACCAAGGCGACGAUCGGUAGCCGGCCUGAGAGGGCGAUCGGCCACAUUGGGACUGAGAGACGGCCCAGACUCCUACGGGAGGCAGCAGUAGGGAAUAUUGCGCAAUGGGGGCAACCCUGACGCAGCAACUCCACGUGUGGGAUGAAGCAUUUCGGUGUGUAAACCACUGUCGGGGGGGAAUAAGGCGGUCUUCCGGGACCGUUGAAUGUACCUCUAGAGGAAGCACCGGCAAACUUCGUGCCAGCAGCCGCGGUAAUACGAGGGGUGCAAGCGUUGUUCGGAAUCACUGGGCGUAAAGGGAGCGUAGGCGGACCGCCAAGCGUUCUGUGCAAUCCCGGGGCCCAACCCCGGACCCGCAGAGCGAACUGGCGGCCUUGAGUGGUCCAGAGGCCGGCGGAAUCCCUGGUGUAGCGGUGGAAUGCGUAGAUAUCAGGAAGAACACCGAUGGCGAAGGCAGCCGGCUGGGGACCAACUGACGCUGAGGCUCGAAGGCGCGGGCAGCAAACAGGAUUAGAUACCCUGGUAGUCCGCGCGGUAAACGAUGCAUACUAGGCGUCCCGGGGCGACCCGGGGUGCCGGAGCUAACGCGUUAAGUAUGCCGCCUGGGGAGUACGUACGCAAGUAUGAAACUCAAAGGAAUUGACGGGGACCCGCACAAGCAGCGGAGCAUGUGGUUUAAUUCGAAGCAACGCGAAGAACCUUACCAGGACUUGACAUCCUUCUGACCGGCCUUUAACCGGGCCUUUCCUUCGGGACAGAAGUGACAGGUGGUGCAUGGUUGUCGUCAGCUCGUGUCGUGAGAUGUUGGGUUAAGUCCCGCAACGAGCGCAACCCUUGUCAUUAGUUGCCAUCAUUGAGUUGGGCACUCUAGUGAGACUGCCGGGGACAACUCGGAGGAAGGUGGGGAUGACGUCAAAUCAUCAUGCCCCUUAUGUUCUGGGCUACACACGUGCUACAAUGGUUGGUACAAAGAGCAGCAAAGUCGUGAGGCGGAGCAAAUCUCAAAAACCAAUCCCAGUUCGGAUUGCAGGCUGCAACCCGCCUGCAUGAAGUUGGAGUUGCUAGUAAUCGUGGAUCAGAAUGCCACGGUGAAUGCGUUCCCGGGUCUUGCACUCACAGCCCGUCAAG
rnacentral:rRNA from 1 species